GCGGCCCUAGCCUGUGCGCCAGUCGCCUAUUUGAGCCAACACAAUCGGGACGGGAGUUCGGUUCAGGGGCGGGCCACGCCCGACCCCGCUGAACACCCACUUGCGUAAGCAAGGUUCAAAUCCCACGGCGGCAGCGGCAGGCCGGGGCCUUC
rnacentral:other from 1 species